GUAAAGUUGCAAAUUCCCAGCGCACUUGAAUGCAGCACAACUACCCCGAGGUGAACGUGCAUUAAUCCGGAGAGCCUCGAGGCGCGUGCAACAGUUUGAAUUUCUCUUCAUUUGGCAGAUCAGCUAUGGUGAAGAAGACAUCCCAGACGAAUCCGUGAAGCCACAGGAGAGAAAGCUAAAUUACAAACCCUGAAGAAGUCCUGCACCGUUACCAAACU